rnacentral:lncRNA from 1 species
CCCGCCCGAGCGCCGGAAGGGAUUUUGCGCCCUUCCGCCGUGGCGUCACGUGACAUCCCCUUGGUAACGCAAGAUGGCGGCGCCCAUGUUGCUGCCCGAGUCCCCUCUGGGGAAGUUGAGCCAUCAAAAAUAUAGAGCUAUUCUGAAGAAAGAAAAGCGGAAAAAAAAGCGCCAGGCACUCGCCAAACUGAGAGAUUCAGAAGCUACAGAAAAAGAUGAAUCAAUGUCUGAGGAGGAAGAAGAAGAACUGGAAGAAGAGGAAGAAGAAGAAGAAGAAGAAAAAAAACUUGAGGCAGAAAGACAAAAACUACAUGAGCAGUGGUUGCUAAGAGAAGAAAAGGCCCAAGAAGAGUUCAAGCUUAAGAAAGAAAAAGAAGAGGCUGCAAGAAAACGUCAAGAAGAAGAAGAGAGAAAGAGAGGAUAAUCCUUAUUUAAUGUCUCAUAUGAACACAAUGAGUGUUGAAGAAAAUUCCUGACGAGGAUAUGGAAUAUGGUGUUACAUUGCUGCUGUUCCUUAACAUAGUUCUUAAUCAAAAGAUAUAUUGCAGCUCUUCUUUACCUGACUCAUCCAACAGGACGUAUCUUUUUUUUUUUCAGAGCUCCUUGGGUGGGAAGGAAAAUUAUAGUGAAGAUAUUAGUCAUUGAUGAAAUUUCUGUUAACUGUACAUUCUUCUUAAGUUUUAGAAUUUGAAUGACUGGGAUGUGAGUUGCCCUGUACAAAAAUCUGAAGUGAGGACUGGCCUAUCAUCAGUAAAGGGGCUUGCAGCUUUCUAGGAUCUGUCUCUCAUUAGCUUCUGCACAGCUGCAAAAGAUACAAAGUUCUAGCUAUUUCUGUUGGAGAUGUCUUGCUAAAAAUGCUGAUUGGAUUCUCCAGUUUCCUGACUCUAGUCACAGUAGGAGAAAAGAAAUGAGCAAAGAGUAUUCUCUUCUGCAUUUAAUAGUUGAUAGUGUCACUGGUUACGUAACACUUCCAUGAUGAAUGAGAAAGAACAGCAGUUUUUAUAUUUCCUGGUUUUUUUAUAUUUUCUGUCUUCCUCUUAAGUGUCCCUUUCUCUCUUUGCAGAGUAGGCAGAGUAAAUGUUUGCAUCCUUUAUUUAAGGUUGAGAUGUGGUUAGAAGAGAGUUGAACCACAGUAACAGCAGGAUUUUGUUCCUUCCUUCUCCUUUUGUCUGUGUUUGUCUCAUCCCUCAGUGGGCUAAUUGGUUCCCUGAAUUAGUGGAAGCUGCUUUCUGUUUUUUUUGUUUUGUUUUUUUUUUCUCCCCCGGAUGACUAUUUCACUGGUUUAGUGAGCUAAAUUGGCUCAUGGAGGACUUUGACAAGCACCCAGAGGCAGGCUGUCGGAGUGCCCAGCUGGGAGUGGAGCCACCCAUUUCAGCAGCCAAGAGUU